AGACGUCUACAUUAGAUACCCCUGUAGUCCCAGCCGUAAACGAUGCGCGUUAGGUGUAUCGACGACCACGAGUCGUCGAGGUGCCGAAGGGAAACCGUGAAACGUGCCGCCUGGGAAGUACGGUCGCAAGGCUGAAACUUAAAGGAAUUGGCGGGGGAGCACAACAACGGGUGGAGCCUGCGGUUUAAUUGGACUCAACGCCGGACAACUCACCGGGAACGACAGCAAUAUGUAGGCCAGGCUGAAGACCUUGCCUGAAUCGCUG
rnacentral:rRNA from 1 species